AGGAGAGGGCGGCUCCGAGGAGAGGAGACCCCGCCCGGCGUUACCGAGGCGGCCGCCGACCUCUGUCCUGGCGAGAGGCGAUGCUUGCUCCAGGAGAAGCCCGGCUCCGGCAAGCAUGAUAGCGGGGGACACUGUCAUCGUACCUGGAACGCUGGAAGAACCCACACUGGGGGGAGGAGAAAAAGAAGAGUUUAGACUGAAGUUGCUGUGGAAGUACUACAAUUACAGAGGCAACACAUUCUUCAUAAGGGGUUUCUAAGAUAAGGAGCCCAUCCAAAAGAAACUGAACACACAGGAACGGGAGUCAGAUACUGACAACUGUGCAACAGUCUCCAAUAUUUGUAAACCUGAACACAAAACCUAUCAGCUGUAUUUCUGCCAAAGGUAACAUAGACUAACUCAAACGUAGCACAGGAGAAGGACAAACUUUCUGCUGUUUUAUUCCACCUACAGCAGCCUGCUCUAGUGGGGCUUGGAGCUGGACAGUCUUUACGGCCUCUUCCAACCCAGACCAUUCUGUGAUUCUGUGACUCAAUUCCACUUUCUUGCCCCUUAUGUAACGUAAGCAGCAAAAUUAUCUCCUUGUUUCUUUUAGGCAUUGUAUAAGUACAAUAUAUCUCUUUUAAAAUCUUGCCCUUACUACUGGAGGGGAACUUCAAGUUCUCCCUCCUCCUUCCCAACUUCACUUGAUCCUGACUUUUCCCACAGGACGUCCAUCUUGAUGACAUGAAACGGUUUUACUAUCACAAAGUAAUGGAGCAUGUUGAAUCGGUUAUCCAAGAACAGCUUUCACAGACAAAAACAGGAACACAUCCAAACAAAAAUCCUCAGGAUUUCUGACAGCAAGGACAUGGUAAGAAAACAAGGACACUUGAUAGCAAGCCAAUUUUUUUUUUUUUUUUUUUUGCAUUGAUAGAAGCUCUAAAAGAUGAGCAUUGUUAAGGUCUUUAAAUCCUGAAAAUGCAAACACACACUGCUAUGAAUUCAGCCCACCUCAACUUUGAAUUAUUUAGUAACAGCUCUGCAAGCAGAAAUUUAUAGUUUCCAAUGCAGAUGAUCACAGUCCAGUCUUCCUCUGUUGCUAGAGCAGUGAGCACAGGCCCUCUGACAACGCAGAAAUACUGGCUAAAUGCCACUGAGGAUGCACUACAGCAGCAGUACAGCAAUGUCAGCAGCCUGCUGACCAAAGGCAACUCUGUUUUAUAUUGAUAGAAUGGCUCACAGCAGAGAUAUGCAGUAUCAGCAGAACCUGUCACAAGUAAAAAUUCCAGUAAGCAAUCUUUUAGGCUUUACAGUUCCGAAUGGGCAGCACAGACUUGGCACAAAACGCCUACCCACUGCUCUUCUUCUGAAGAGGAGAUCCUGAAUGUUGCCAUAGUCUCAUCCUUUUUUUUUUGCCUUAAGCAAUAAGAAGCCUACAUAAAUUCAGCUUCAUUUCUGUGUUAAAAGUAAUACCAGAAUUGACUGCAAAUUAUAAGCAAAUGUAGAUGUUCUUAGGACUUGUGUUCUAAUUCAAGAGAUCAGCUUAAACCAUUCUGAAAAGGACCAUCUCACAUGUUGUGUGCACAUGUAUAUCUCAUCAUAUAAAAUAUCAGUGUGUAUACAUACGUUAUAUAUAAAACUAUGAGCAAACUAAUACUAAGCAGCUAGUAACAUUUCUAAUAACAGCAUACAGCAUGAAGUAGCUAACAUACCACCUACAUACAGCUACAGACCCCUGCAUUCUCCAUCGCAAACUAACAAAACUUUAACUCCAAUAGCUGCGCAGCCACAAGUCACGGCUGUUGUACCUCCACCACCUCUCAGAAGCACAGCUCCCAUACCUUUGUCACACUGACAGAUGAAGAGCAGACCAACCUCACGCAGGGCAAGCAGCCCAGCUCCCUGAGAAUUCCAUUAAGGUUUUCUGCUCCUGAUUCAUUGUGCUUGACGAUGGACCAGGACUGCACACAGAAAUCCAGGCAGGCAGCCCUCAGUCCAUCUAACAGUAACAGUAAUGCUUCCCUAACGCAUAUUAAGACUGCAUUCAGCUCUUUCACACCCACAAGCCUUUAGCAGUCCACUUUCAGUUAUUGUGAAUAGUUUUUCUCCUCUUCAUCUCUCAAACUUCUCUCACUUGAAAAUACUCACAUAGAAUAACAGAAAGUUGUUACCAGCCCCCAGCCUUCUAUAAAGUACCCUUUACAAAUAAAUUUGAUGCAUUUCUUGAACAGUCACCUACCUGUGCCAUUAGGAGUUAAGUAAUUACCAAUUAGCAAACACAGCAUUAGUAUCUAACAUUGACAAACAAAGUAGUUGCCAUUCAAAGGUAAUAUGUAAGCUGCAAUCUUCCGUAACUAGGAAAAAAGUGACCAAAGGCAAACACCAUGUUUAAAAGCAGGUUACUUCAGCUGUACCUUCACGUGUCACACUUAAAGACAUUUCCCACUCCCCUUCUUACCAAGGCAUUUCAUAAUGCUUAACAUGGAAAUUAUCUAGCCAAGGCAGAAGAGAAAGCAAAUCAUUUAAGAAUCACUUAAAGUGAGCUGAGAGGAAAAACCAAGGAUCUGUAGCUUGUUUUACAGACUAAAACAUCUCUUCCACAGAACUCGCAUAUCUCACCAUUUCUCAUUUGUUUUCUCAAGGACUUAAUGAUCUUGCAUACAACAGUUGUAACUGCAUUAUAACAUCAUAAAGCUGUGUGGAGUGGCAGGGGUUGGUGGAGGAUUUGGGGGUAAAGGUUCUCUUUGAGAUAAGAAUCCAAGCAUCAAGUUCCACUGGUGACAUAGGGUUUGUGUAUUUUGGUAACAACUGACUAACCAUAACUGAGUUUUAAAGGUAGCACCUAACGAAGAAGAUGGGAUGAAACAAUUACUUCUAUCUGUCACAAGAGAGAACUUGAUAUAAAAGCGCUUCUGCAGCAGAGCUAGGACACACCAACACACAGCUGGGAAUGGAGGCACUGCACCCUGCAGACCAACAUGAAGCUCCUGCUGCUGUGAGUGAUGAGCAGCAUGCAGGAACCAGACAUGUCUCCCAGUACCAGACCUCAAUGCAAUCUCCAUUCCUUCACCUCUCACUUUCUCUAGUUACCUGGACAGCAGACAAUCUGCUCCACCUACAAACAGCCAAACUAUCUACAAACUGACAUCCACUGAACGUGCCAGAAUGAGUUGUUUAAUAUUGAUGUUGCUCAUUUUUA